CCUACGGGUGGCUGCAGUGAGGAAUAUUGGUCAAUGGACGCAAGUCUGAACCAGCCAUGCCGCGUGCAGGAAGACGGCUCUAUGAGUUGUAAACUGCUUUUGUACGAGGGUAAACGCCGAUACGCGUAUCUGUCUGAAAGUAUCGUACGAAUAAGGAUCGGCUAACUCCGUGCCAGCAGCCGCGGUAAUACGGAGGUGCCAAGCGUUAUCCGGAUUUACUGGGUGUAAAGGGCGCGUAGGCGGGAAGGUAAGUGAGAGGUGAAAACCCUGGGCUCAACCUGUGAACUGCAUUUGAAACUGUUGUUCGUGAGUACGGGUGAGGUAGGCGGAAUGCCUGGUGUAGCGGUGAAAUGCGUAGAGAUCAGGAAGAACACCGAUUGCGAAGGCAGCCUACGGGACUGCAACUGACGCUGAGGCGCGAAAGCGUGGGGAGCAAACAGGAUUAGAUACCCCAGUAGUC
rnacentral:rRNA from 1 species